UGCCGGAUAGCUCACUCGGUUAAAGCAUCGCACUGUGACUGUCACGGCACGGGUUCGAGCCCCGGUCAUACCA